GGGGAUGCACUGGUUUCGACGGGGGUGUGGAAACCGGGUAAGCGAGCCGCAGUUUGUCCGGUCUGCGUUAAAAAGGACACGUUAAAUAUAAACGCUAAAAAGAACAAUAAUUUCGCACCUAUGGCUAUAGCUGCGUAAGCAGUUAUAAGCUGUGCGUGCCGGCUUCCGUUCACCUGCAGACGGGAAAUCCGGCAUCGACCAUGCAGGAAAACUUCAUGUGAAUUCCCGGCAGCAUGAGGGAACAACGGGAUAGCCGACGAUGAAGCCUGCUUCCGGGCGUCAUCGGAAGCGAAACACUAAAACAGAAGCUGCGCUCGGAGAAAACCCAGCGAAAAUGCUUUCGGACAUGGGUUCGAUUCCCAUCAUCUCCACCA
rnacentral:tmRNA from 1 species